rnacentral:lncRNA from 1 species
AUCCCCCACCAGGGCCCCAGGCCUGCGCAGACCUGGGCAGAGCUGCUCGCUCCUUCCUUGGCUGAACGGAGCCUCUGCCUGCAACCUGUGUGUGCGGAUGCAUUGGCCUCCAGCCCCGGGCAGCGGCAUGUCCGUGGUGGAGCAGACAGACCAUGCAGGGCCCAGGAGCAGGCGCCCAGUGGGUCCCAUUUAGACACCCAGUGUGACUGUAACUGCUGGGUCUAUGCUGAUGUAAACUGCAAAUCUCAGAAGAGUCCUGCAGGAGGGGCACAGACCACAGACAUCAUGAGAACAGACAGCAGCCUGGCUCAGAGGAGACAGCUCAAAAGCCCAGGGUCCGGAGAAGGCCAGGAAGUGCCAAGCGCCUUCCCAGGGGAGGGGCCCAGGCAAUAAGGGGCUGUCCUUCUGGCCGCAGCUUCAAGUUGAACCAGCCCCGAAACUAUAUAAAAGACAAUUGAACCAGGGUGCCCAAACCCAUGUCAACCUGAAAACACAAACCUACUGAAGUCUAUCCAGCAGGGACCCUUUGGUGAAGAGUCAACCUAAUGAUGCCUCUCUCAGGGGUGGGAGUGAAAGGUGCUGCGGUCUCUGCCUUCAAAGACCCUCUGUCCUGCACCUGCGAGGCCCCUGCACAGAGCAGCUGAGAGGUCCCCGCUGCUCCGGCCACUGGCAAAGCUUCUGAUGCCCCUUCACUGCCCCCAGAUUUGCUGUUUAAAAAACCACCAACAGCAAAUAUGGUGAAAAAAUCGCAAUCCCUAGUGUCAAGUCUGACUGCCUGUGUGCAGAGAAUUCUGAGGCUGUAUUGGAGUCUUGAGUGAAAAACCCACAGAGGCAGAUGAGAAAUCUACUUUGACUCUAACAAAGGUUAACUGAGAAUUUGCCACGUUCCAGACACUGUGUGAAGUGCCAGAGAUCUAGGGGGGAACAAUUCAAACUCUCUCUUCUGAGAGCAUAAAUUUCAGACAGAAAUCCAGACAAAAACAAUUUGUGGCCAUUUUCUUUUUUCUUACUAAUAAGACCUGUGUUUGCUAUUUCCCAGGCAGCAAUUUGCACAUCUGAAAACUUGUCUUUCUCAGUCCGUGUUGCAGACAGGAAUAGCCCAUGUCAUACUCUGGCAAGAGAGAGGUAGGUGGAAGCUUUGUGGAGGGAUUGCUAUAGACUGUCUUAAAAGGGGGACAAACCCAACCAACAGGCACCACUUUGCUCUUGGACCUUGUCUCUUCCUGCUGCCUGAAACGAAUAAACAAUGGCAGGAGCUCCAGCAGCCUCCAUGAGGACAUGAGCACAGGGCCCAGUGCAGCAGAAACAUGGGGCUGCCAAACCAGCCUGACACUCCCACCCCCAGAUUUAUGAGUGAAAAAUGUAUUUUUAUAAAAGUGACUGUUCCUGGGGUUUCUAUUGUAAUAAUCCACUGUUCUUUGGGAAAUCAGCAGCUGAACUCAAUCACUAGUGCAACACAAGUAAACAAAUAAAUCCGGCAGAUGAUUCUGCUUGGCCUAAAUGCUGCAAAGGAAAUGACCAGGACACAAAGCACAGAAGCAGGAGGAAGGCAGCUUGGACCGGAAGGUCUGCAGGAGGAAGGACUGCCAAGCAGGGCUGUGCAGAUGGUGAGGGCCCAGCCGCAGAUAGGCUCUCCAGGCAGAGGUCUUGGCAGACCCAGAGGUUCUGAAUCCCAUCCAGCCACGUGCCACCUGAGAAAGCUGCGUAGACUAGACGGCACCUCAUGCAUGGCAGGGAAGUCAACAGAGUUGGAGUGGGAGAAGCCCACAAGGCAGGGGCUUGUAGAUCCGAGAAAAGAUUGCAGAUUUUAUUCUUUAAGCAGUAAGAAGUCACUGGGGGGCGCUGAGAGAAAAUGAGCUAGCCCAGGGGCUGCCCCCUGAAUUCUGCCUGUUGUGUUGGCCGGGAUACCUGCCAGGCCUACGGAUGCGGGAGGUGCUGCUGUAUCUCUGCCCUCCCUGCACUGGGAGCAGGCGCUCCCUCUUUAGUUACAAUGACAAAUAACAGAUCCGGGCAUGUCCAGUGUCCCCUGGGGGCACGAUGCCUCCAGCUGAGGACCACUGCAGAAUGUCUUCUGUAAAGAGAGGAAAGUCAGAGAAAUGGCAGAGUGGAGGAGGGGACACCGGGCAGCCGGGCAGAGAAUGCGGGGAGAAAUGCAGAUGUUCAAGAGGCAUCUUGGAGAAAAUCCUGCGGAAUUGACUGGAGGAAGCCCAGCCGGCAGGACUCAGCUCCACGCCGGGGAUGGAGCCCAGGUCCUGGCAAACGUGGAGGAGCGUUGUCCCUGCGAGCGCCCAGCCUGAACAGAAGGGAACGAGGGGGGAGCAAGCCCGCGGUGCGUGAUGCUGGUCAUUUAUUUGCCGCAGCUGCCAGCACACGUCCGCUAACCUGACGAACACGGAUCCUGACCUCUAACUUCACACACGCACCCAGGCUGAAAUGGAAGCACCAGCCGGGGCAGGUGGAGGGGCUGGAGGAGAAUCCAGAGGUUCCUCGCAGGUGCGUGGUGGUGACCCACUCCUCGGGUUUUCACAGGGAGACGUCAGGUAGCGGCUGGGCCUGAGGCUCGGGGGCCGGGUCUGGGCUGCAGUGAGGCUCGGCCAUCUCCGGCUUUGCUGCGCCAACAAGAGCAUUGCCUGCUGCUAUCCCACGCGUCCUCAUCCCAAAUCCCAGAUGAGGGCGCUGUGGCCUUGGCCACCCCCAACACGGCGCCUGGGCUCGCAUCUGGGUGGUGGUUUUUCCUGCUGCACCACCAGGGUGCCUUGGCGCUGGGACUACAGGAUGCACAGAGGACCGCGCGUGGUGGAAGAGAAGCCAGCCUGGCCCGUUUGUGCGAGCGCGGCCCCUAAGCCCGCAGGCUGCCCUGCUGGGAGGGGAGAGUGGGAAGCGGCCUCCGGGUUGGUUCCCAGUGGUCCCAGCUGGGGGCAGAAAUUCCAUCUGUCUCACAACAGAUGAGUAUUCUCAAGUGUGGGAAAGCAACACAGACCAGAAACUUAUCAGGGGGAGGAAAACUCCCCCUGAUAAGAUGCAAAGGAGCCUAGAAAAAAAAAAUUGGCCCAAAGAGCAAGCACUGCUGGUUCAGGAUAAUUUCAGGAUAAACUGCCCCAGCUAUUGGCAGAUGUUAAGAAACACUUCCAAGAACUCGAGGGCAAGACACACCAGCCUCCUAACAGAAACAGCACCCCUACCCCACCACACGCUGGAAGGUUCCAGAAGACCUUGGCAGGACCAAAGACGUCAGUCAAGGUGAUGGAUAGCUCAGGUCGCCAAUAUUUCCCAUCAAAAGUAGCACUUAGUAAUAAUUCCACACUCAUGGGGAAUACUUUGGGCAAAACUGGAGAAAAGGCUUUUGAGUUUCCUAACACUCACUAUUGCUCACGAAAUAGACAUCACAUUAAAUGCAGUAAAAGAGCAAAAAAAAAAAAAAUGGCUGGGCGUGGUGGUUCAUGCCUGUAAUGCCAGCACUUUGGGAGGCCAAGGCAGGCAAAUCACGAGGUCAGGAGUUCGAGACCAGCCUGACCAGCAUGGUGAAACCCCGUCUCUACUAAAAAUACCAAAACAAACAAACAAACAAAAAUUAGCUGGGCGUGGUGGCAGGCACCUGUAGUCCCAGCUACUCAGGAGGCUGAGGCAGGAGAAUCACUUGAACCAAGGAGAUGGAGGUUGCAGUGAGCCAAGAUCACACCACUGCACUCCAGCCUAGGCGACAGAGCAAGACUCCGUCUCAAAAAAAAAAAAAAAAAAGCAAAAAAUUAAAAUGGUGGAGGGCAAAAUAAUUUAAAAAGUGAACAAACCUAAAUGACUAGUUAGUUAUUCUAACAGUAGGCAAACGUCAUACUGUUAUUACACCUUUCCUGUAAAGAAGCUAUGCUCCAUUGUGGUAAAAACAAAAAAAAUGUGCCUGUGGUUUAUAAACACAAUAAACCUUAAAAUGCAAAGCGGUGCCUUGGCCUUCACGUCAGUAUCCCUCAAAGUGUCUGACUCCCCAGGUGAUGGUUCCAGGAGCUGGGGGCCUUUGGGAGGUGAUGAGGUCAUGGUGUGGAGCCCAUGGGUGGAUCUGUGCCCUUCUAAGAGACCCCAGAGAGACCCUCACCCCUUCCCCCAGGAGAGGUCUGUGAAAUAAGAAGCAGUCCUCACGAGACACCAAACCCACUGGGCCUUGGUCUUGGACUUCAGCCCCCAGAGCAGAGAGACGAGUGUCUGCAGCUUGUAAGCCCCAUCUGCUGUGGUUGUCACAGCUGCCGAGUGACCAAGGCAGGUGACAGAGGAAGCUGGAUUCGCUGCACAUCUGCUCCGUCCAGGCCUCUCACGAUGCCUACAGCAUCCCUGUCCUCUGGGAAGAGCCCUUGCUGUGAGGAAGAGCCCUGACACUCCAGCAUGUGCUUUGCAUAAAAGCUGCUGUCAUCUUACAGACUCCACAAGUGACCAGCCCAGCCGCAGGCACUGACUCAGGCCGCCAGGUUGCUGCCCCUCCCUGGGGCUGUGAGCAGGCAUCUGGCCACAGAGAAUCCUGGACUUGCUGCCAAGAGCCAGAUGUCGCCUGCUGGGACCCGCCAGGAGUCCUGUUCCCAGCCGAGCAGAGGGGCCUGGCGGAGAGGCCCAAGCCAAUGGCGGGGAGAAGCAGAGACGAGGCCUGGGCCCCACUCCCAUCUCUGUUCCUUUGAACUGAGGUUUUGUCACUGACAAUAAGGGUUCUGACUCACACAUCUGCUUAAGUUGUGGUUCGGGCACUUAACGUUUCAUCUGAAGUUUCCUGAACGUCAGCCAAAGGCCAUCAGCUCGGCAUCUAGAGCCUUUCAGGUCCGUAGGAAUCCACAGAUACAAGUUGUAGAGAAAGGAGGUCCAAAGAGAUAAAGUGUCAAACGACAUCAUAGUAAAUGGCCUCAAACAAAAACCUCCAAAGACUGUUUUCCCACCACAGCACACCGACUCAUAAUGAACAAGGAGAGAGGGAAUUUUGCUGAGCUUGGUGCUUCAGGAACGCCUAGAAAAGGAAGAGGCUUCUACCGCUGGUGCUUGAACCGAGGGGCAGCUCCUGCAGACAGGCCCUGAGGGCUGGCUGCCACGGAAACAACAACCGGGCUGAGCUGAGACCUGAGACACGAGGUCCCCUUGCUCCACGAGCACCUGGGGACCCGCCCCUGCACACCCCAGUGCUCCUGGGCUGGAAGCCGCAUCUCUCCAACCUCUGCCUUCGUCUUUU